AGUGAACGCUGGCGGUCGGCCUAACACAUGCAAGUCGAACGGCAGCACAGUAAGAGCUUGCUCUUACGGGUGGCGAGUGGCGGACGGGUGAGGAAUACAUCGGAAUCUACUUUUUCGUGGGGGAUAACGUAGGGAAACUUACGCUAAUACCGCAUACGACCUACGGGUGAAAGCAGGGGAUCUUCGGACCUUGCGCGAUUGAAUGGGCCGAUGUCGGAUUAGCUAGUUGGCGGGGUAAAGGCCCACCAAGGCGACGAUCCGUAGCUGGUCUGAGAGGAUGAUCAGCCACACUGGAACUGAGACACGGUCCAGACUCCUACGGGAGGCAGCAGUGGGGAAUAUUGGACAAUGGGCGCAAGCCUGAUCCAGCCAUACCGCGUGGGUGAAGAAGGCCUUCGGGUUGUAAAGCCCUUUUGUUGGGAAAGAAAAGCAGCAGGUUAAUACCCCGCUGUUCUGACGGUACCCAAAGAAUAAGCACCGGCUAACUUCGUG
rnacentral:rRNA from 1 species